rnacentral:lncRNA from 1 species
AGGAAAAUAAGUGGUUUUGGGUUCAGAGCCAAUGUUCAUAUUCUUUUCACUGUGUUUUAUUCUUUUCUGUUUCAAUUACUCAAUUUUUCUUUGAUAUUCUCUCUUUUUUUCCCAACUGAGUGUUCUUCCUUCGGUGAGUGCUUUUAUCGAACCAUCGACUCUAUUUUGGUUUCUCAAAUUUUUUAUGGUCGUUUUUUCUUCUUCUUUUUUUUUCGUACUCACCUUGGAUUUUGAUACUUAUGGGGUUUAACCCAAACUUAGAAUUUAACACAACUUAAUGACAUCACAUUGACUCUGAACAGGGUAAGAAAGUGUUUUGGGCCACGGGUUACAUUUAUGUGGUUAGACAAACAAAAGGUACAGGCUCAAAUGGGGUUAACAAAGGAUAAUCUUAAUGGGAUGGCUAGAAAGGCUCAGGGCUAUAAUCAAACAACAUGCCUCAGUGUGUGUAUACAUGAAGUGAAACUCCCAGAGAACCAACGCAAAAUCAGAGUGAUAAGACAUACCUGAAUAUCGCUCAUGAUGACAAAUGUGUUUGGCUUUUUAUGCACUCACCAUGUUAGGUAAAGCUUGAUAGCAUCCACAGUACUUCGAGUAUGGUGCGGCUUCUUACUCAACU